GUCUACGGCCAUACCACCCUGAACGCGCCCGAUCUCGUCUGAUCUCGGAAGCUAAGCAGGGUCGGGCCUGGUUAGUACUUGGAUGGGAGGAAUGCUGACAUAUUUA
rnacentral:rRNA from 1 species